rnacentral:rRNA from 1 species
GUGAACGCUAGCGGUGCGCCUAACACAUGCAAGUCGAGUGGGUUUAGACCCACGGCAGACGGCUGAGUAACACGUUGGUACCUGCCCCGAACUCAGGGAUAACCCGCCGAAAGGCGGGCUAAUACCGGAUAGUCCCAUACGCAAGUAUGGGUAAAGAUUUUUCGGUUCGGGAGGGGCCUGCGGCCUAUCAGAUAGUUGGUGAGGUAAUGGCUUACCAAGUCGAUGACGGGUAGCUGGUUUGAGAGAACGACCAGCCAGAAUGGAACUGAGACACGGUCCAUACUCCUACGGGAGGCAGCAGUGAGGAAUCUUCCGCAAUGGGCGAAAGCCUGACGGAGCGACACCGCGUGAAGGAUGAAGCCAUUUUUUGGUGUAAACUUCUGUUGUGAGGGAAGAAAUUUUUGACGGUACCUCACGAGAAAGCAUCGGCUAAUUCUGU